GGUGAUUUAAGUGAAGAAAUCGAUUUUGGAAAUUGUUUUGGUGUCGAGACCACCUACUGGGCCGACAAUUUAAGUUUGGGCCAAAGUCCUUUCAUUUGGGCCUGGAAGGUACUAAAGUUCAUUGCAGCAAAAAGAUCGCCGAAGCAAAUUUGAAAGGAGAACAUUUUAACUUCGUACUUUUUCUUGUUAUUUUAAUUUGUCGCAUAACGUAUGAAAUCACGUAUUCGUAAGGUACGAAUGUAUUCGAGAUUAGAUUAAGAUUAUGAGGCCAUUAAAAAGGAUUAAGAAAUUUAGAGAAAAUCCAAUUUGGGUCUAGAAAAGUAUUUUUAAAGUAUUGAGGCUUAGGACAAGCCCGGAAAAUUUUCCCGAAAGGAUUCGGUGAAGUGUCGGAGAAAUAAGGAUGUUUGGUGAUGUAUUUUCGGAGUGGGCUUGAGAAAAUUAAAAGGAAAAUGAAAUAGUAGCAGCCCAAGCCCAUUGGCCCAAAAGGAGGGGCAGAUUCGACUUUUCACAAUUAAAUUUGGGAGAGGUAUAAAAGCAAAACUUUCCUCUCAAACCCUAGCCUCUCCCUCAUUUCUCUUCAGCUCUUUCUCUCUCUAACCGAGAGCCUCUCUCUCUACAAUCUCACCGGAAAUCGCUGCCACCGCCGGACGCCGCCGCCGCGCCGCCGCCGGUCGCCGCCGUCGCCGGAACCCCUCUCCUCACCAAAAUUUCCAGAUUUUCUUCUCUUCCUUCCCUCUUUCCAUUUCUCCAACCAAAAUCAAGAAAUUUAGCCAUUCACUCACCCAAAAACCCUAGAACCCGAAGCUAAAAUUGGGGCUUUUGUGAUUUCUUCUUUCCAAGCUCAAAUCAAGGCUACGGGUUUGGCAAGGAUUUUUGGUGAAGAAGGCCAAGGAGAAGGUAUAUGACGUGAUUUUUGAAGGAGAAAGGGACCCGAGCGGGUGCACUUGGAUUUGGAUAAAGGAUCGAAAGUCGGGAACGAACCCGAAUGUGGGCAAGCACUCCAUUUCCAGUGUGCAGGUUUCGAGCAUGUGGUCGGGAAGCGUACAGGGGAGGCACAUGGCACGGCUUGGCGCAUUUCACUUUAGUUUUAUCAAAAGAAGGUUUCGGUCCUUAAUCGGAUUUUGUAGUAGCUUGUUUAUUUACUUUUUAUUUAUUUCCUGCUCGUUUACAAAAAUUCCGGGAGACCCGUAACCCUGGGGCGCGUCUCCCAUACUUGUCGUUACUUAGAGAUCAAUUUUAUUUUCCAAAUUGGGCUCCGAUCGCAAGCCCAAAACUCUUAGCCCA